rnacentral:rRNA from 1 species
UUCGCCCUUAGAGUUUGAUCCUGGCUCAGAACGAACGCUGGCGGCAGGCUUAACACAUGCAAGUCGAACGCCCCUUUCGGGGGGAGUGGCAGACGGGUGAGUAACACGUGGGAACGUACCUCUUUGUUCGGAAUAACUCAUGGAAACGUGAGCUAAUACCGGAUACGCCCUUUUGGGGAAAGAUUUAUCGCAGAGAGAUCGGCCCGCGUCUGAUUAGCUAGUUGGUGAGGUAAUGGCUCACCAAGGCGACGAUCAGUAGCUGGUCUGAGAGGAUGAUCAGCCACACUGGGACUGAGACACGGCCCAGACUCCUACGGGAGGCAGCAGUGGGGAAUAUUGGACAAUGGGGGCAACCCUGAUCCAGCCAUGCCGCGUGAGUGAUGAAGGCCUUAGGGUUGUAAAGCUCUUUUAUCCGGGAAGAUAAUGACUGUACCGGAAGAAUAAGCCCCGGCUAACUUCGUGCCAGCAGCCGCGGUAAUACGAAGGGGGCUAGCGUUGUUCGGAAUCACUGGGCGUAAAGGGCGCGUAGGCGGACGAUUAAGUCAGGGGUGAAAUCCCGGGGCUCAACCUCGGAAUUGCCCUUGAUACUGGUUGUCUUGAGAUUGGAAGAGGUAAGUGGAAUUGCGAGUGUAGAGGUGAAAUUCGUAGAUAUUCGCAAGAACACCGGUGGCGAAGGCGACUUACUGGUCCAUAUCUGACGCUGAGGCGCGAAAGCGUGGGGAGCAAACAGGAUUAGAUACCCUGGUAGUCCACGCCGUA